rfam:Hyphomonas sp. BRH_c22 BRHa_1004703, whole genome shotgun sequence.
UGCAGACGCCUCUGGCGUUUCCUCCCUUUGACUUUGGCCGCACCUUCGGGUGCGGCCCUUUUUUUUGAUCAA